rnacentral:lncRNA from 1 species
GUGUCCAGAAGUCUGUGGCUCUCUGGCUUUUUCACUUGGCUGGCUGCAGUUUCAUGGCUCUGACCUCAGAUCUCUAGCUGCCUCACUGUCAGAGUACCUCACUUCCCAGUUGCCUCUCCUCUGUCUUUUCUGACUGAGCCUUUUUAAGAACUACACUUUUUUUUUGUCUGACCCUUUGCUCCUGACCUAAUGACCUCAGUGCUAUCCUAGAUGACCACUUCUCACCCAAGAUCCCAUAACAUUUCGAAGCUGGAUGAGAUGGUUCCCUGCUUGCUAAGAUGAGCUUCAGGACCCUGUGGAAACAAAUUUGAUGAUCAAUGAUGAAAUGAAGGCGAUUCUGGAAAGUGCUCAGUCCACCCCAGUAUCUUCACCUGAGCAUUCUACUUUGUUGACUGGAUCUGGCUCAUCAAGGGCUGAGGAAGUUCUUCAGGCAGAAUGAGGAAGAUAUAUAGAUGAACUAUCUGGAUAAGGAAAAGAGGAAGAACAUUUGAGACAAAUGGAUAGCUGGCAUGAAGUUUCCUCUUCUCCAGAACUAAGGGCUGCCACCUGUUCAGAGAACAAGUUCACUCUGGCUGGAAGUACACCACCUGGUCCCCUUUCCUUUGGGACCUGUCCUGGAAGACAUGUCUGCAGAGCUGAGUGAGGCUCCCUGCCCCGGCUGCUGUCCUGGCUUGCAGGAUCUGGGAACACAUACCCAGAAACAACUCCCCAUGCAUGCGCCCUGCCUUUCCUCACAUGCUUCCCAGAGAGCACAUAACAUACUUCAAGAAAACCAAAGAAAGAAAAAAUUGCCCUAAGAGUUCCGGAAUUGACCUCUGGCUACAAAGAGCAUUGUGACUGGCUUACAAAGUUAUACGAUUCUCUGACGAAACUCUUUGUGACCCAGAGCAACUACUUAAGAGUCUGUUACAAGGUGUACAGUGUAUUCUCUCUGUGAGCUUACAUCUGUGGGCUCCACAAAGGGCAUGCAUGCCAAAAGCCUGGGUACGUGGUAGUUCCCAGUGACUGAAUCUUCGCCCAUUGGAAAAGUGAGGAACAGAAGAAAAGUCAGGCAAAUAGUCUAUGAGCUGGCUAGGUUUGUGUGUCCAUCAUCCUCUUGGGUGAAAGGCCAAAGGAAUGAGGGACAUGUCCCAAGAAGUAUGGCUGGAGCCAUGCCACAAAGUCAUACAGCCUCUUGGUGCACUGCUCUGUGCAUCUCCAAGACUCAGUCAGUAUUACAUUGACUGAUUCACUUGGUUUGUCCCCACCAAGACUCCCUUACACAGUGAAAAUGAGCACAUGCCUUCCCUAGACUGGCUUCAUUAUGGACUGGAGGUUUGACUUAGUAGUCACCUACAGCCCAAAUCUGCUCUGUUCUUGUUUCCCAUGGCAGGACUUGUGGGACUCACUUGAUGGUCAUGAUUGUAGAUCGUGAUGCACAGUGCAGUGAUUGGCUCACGACAGCUCAGCCUUCUUGCCACAUGGGAGCUUCCUUCAAUAUGACUUGGUGCUCAACCACAUUCUGGGCCAACAGAUGCCAGGCCUUUCCCCAAAGCACAGCUUUGUCAGUCUCUCAGCCAUCUUUUGGUCUUCAAUAAGGAAAUACCAAUGGUACCUGGCUGUCUUGGAGGCUGACUGCAGCUGCCCCAUGUUUCCCUACUCUAAACUCAGACCAUUGUCAAGUCAAGAGCACAGAUCAGAACCUUGUCUUCUACCACGAGCCAGUACUGAAGUCAAUAAAUAUCCUGUCAGCAGUGUGGCCACAG